rnacentral:RNase_P_RNA from 1 species
AUUGAAUAGUCGCUGCUAAUCACUGAAAAGUGUUAGGAGAGGAAAGUCCGGGCUCCAUAGAGCAAUGGUACUUGAUAACGUCAAGCGGGGGUAACCCUAGGGAAAGUGCAACAGAAAAUAACAGCUAUUUUUUAAAUAGUUAAGGUGAAAAGGUGAGGUAAGAGCUCACCGGGAGUAUAGUGAUAUAUUCCGUCAGUGUAAACCCUACCUGGAGCAACACCUUGCAGAGAAGGCUAAGACUGCUCGUCAUCUUCUCGAUUUGAGUGGCUUGAGAUAUAUAGCAAUAUAUAUCCUAGAUAAAUGACUAUUCAUGACAGAACCCGGCUUAUAGAUUUACUU